CUGAUGAAACCCAAUGGUCAUGGUUCCCUAAUAGCUUUCCCGACGUAGAGGUGCCACGACCUUUUCACAGCCCUCAUUCUCCUUGACAUCACUGUACAUAUUUCACAGGAUGAAAUAUGUGACAGCUCUUUAAAUAUUGAGAGAACUGUUACUUGAAAGAAGGAUUAGAAUGACUUUGUGUGGACCUAGAGAGGAAAAUGAGGACCUCGGGGAAGAUAGAUUUUAGCUUAGCAUAAAUAAAGAAUUCCAUAAUGAUUAAUGAAAAGGAACAUGUCAGGAAAUGGUAGCAAGGUUCUUAUAAGAAUUGCAAUCUUCUGUGACCAUUUCUUGGAGAUGAGGGUAGAGAGGAUUCAUCCAUUGGGUGGGGGAGGACCUGGGAAGGGGUGACCAAAUGACCACUAGGGUCUGUUCUAGCCCUGAGAUUGUGUGGUUCUAUGAAACUUCCAUAUUCUUCCCCCAUUGUGGCAAAUACAGGAAGUUCUGAGUAACUGUAGCCUCAAGAAUCUCUCCUGGGCGCUGACUGCUUAUUCAUUCAGAAUUUCGUCAUUUCUUUGAGUGCAUGCAUGAGAGCACAAUUUAUUCAGAACAGUCACUCAGCAGUAAGACACUGAGAAUGCAUUAAUGAAGCUACAGUAAUUGAGGAUUUUACCCAAGUGUAACUCUCAGCCCUAACUCAUGCAUAAUUCUUCUUCAGUACGGAUUGCGCCUUUCUUAGCUAGCAUCCGAGUGGCCGUCUUGGAAGAGCUGCAUGUUUUAAUUAUGUGAGAAGAUGUUUCUUGUUUUGGUGAUCCAAACAAGGGAAUUGUUUGCGUCUAGAAAUACAGAUGAGUUUUGAAUACCAGGAUGCUUUGGGAGAUGGGGGAAAAUGAUAUCCCCUCCUCAGACAUUUUAGUGACUAUCCAGCUACAUUGUCUCCAGGCUGUCAGCUCUAUAUAUAAGGAAUAAGGCAUUUUGUUUUUGAACUAUCGAUUGCAUUACCAACAUUUGCAUUGAAAUAACUCCUCUGUUAAUAAAGACAGUAAGGAACUGCAUUCAUAUCCACAGUUAACAGGCUGAAUUUUUCUCAUGGAGCAGCCUGGGCAGAUUCCUGUGAUCUCUGGGAAGUGGUUAGUUUCAAGGGUGAGAGUGCAUUGCUGUUUCCAACUAAAAAUAGGACAGGACUGUGAGUUUCUCCAAAGAUAGUUCUAUUCUCAGUCACUCUGAGAUUGUUCAGAACAUCAUGGUUGCUAUGAAUUUUUAGUCCCAGAUGCACUUCUAGUUUAUGAAGGUGGGACCCUUGUUAUCAUGUUUUUCGUUGUAUCUUCUGCAUCUAACAAAGCAUCUAUCAUGAGGGAGGCACUCAACAACUGUUGGUGGGAAGAAGAAAGGCUGGCAGAGGAAGACUGGGAUAUAGUCUAAUAGCAAGUUAAGCAAGCAGAGAAUGGAUACCUAAAUCUUGUCAAUCAUGAAAAAUAGCAGUCAUGUUCAUGAACAGGGAUGGGUACCAGAUUUGCAUAACAGUGAAUGUCCAGUGGCAGACUCAAAUUCCAUGACCAAGUUCUCUGUUUAUAUCAAUAGCAGUUAAUAUGGGCAGGGAAGUGCUUGGGUAGUUGAAGCUCAAACCUUAUGAAUAAGCCUCUCUGAUUGUUUUAAAGGCUUAACUAGCCCUUUAAGGCAUCAACUGACACAACCAUGGAAACUCAACAAUUGUUCUAGGUAGAUGCAUGGGGAGAUUUAAAAAUAAAGCAGGCAAUUUAUCACUGUCCUCACAAGGCUGAAUCUUCUCAAUGAGAGAAACAUCUUGUAUGAAAAUAUCAGAGAAAUAUGUGAUAAAUAUGUGUCAAGGUGAGUGGUAUUUACAAUAAAGGGAUUCUUGUGUGUUGUGGAGAGCAGUACAGGAUUCAUGGCUGGGUAGGAUUUAUCAUAGGCUUUACAAUACAUGACUUGAACUUGCCUCAACAAUGAAGAAUGGGAAAACUUUUUUAGGCAGGAGUCAGACAUGGAGGCAGGAAUGCUUAAAUCAUACUGAGGGUCCAUGUGACCAGAUUUUAAGAUGGCUCAGAUAAGAAUUUCCCUCGAGUGCAAAUGAUUCAAUUUCUGAACAAAGAUUUAGUCUCACUGGGGAAUGGUUUGCUGUGUGAUAAAAUAGACAGGUAUUAGGUGCACAUGUUUGCCUUUGCUGAGCUGCAAGUCUAGCUGCUGUCAAGAGCAAAAAGAUUGGUAGUGCUACUGUGCUUUACUUAUGUUCAUUUAUUUAAUCACCUAAGAACUUGAGAACUUUUUUCUAGGAACUUCUCAUAUAUUAGUUGGUAUUUUAAACUUUUUGGUUUUGGCUGCGACCCAAGCUGCUGCAUGGACAAUGCUGGAUCCUUAACCCCCUGUGCCCUAAGAGAACUCCAGACUUGCUUUCAAUUUAUUCUUUAAUUUAACAAAUAUGGUGCUAAAUCUUUCCAAUCUUGCAGAUGGAGAAACUGAGACUCAGAGAGGUAGGAAAGAAGUAAAAAGAAAGGAAAGGGAAGGGAAAGGAAGGGAAAGGGAAAGGAAAAGAAAAUAAUUUAUCUACAGUCACAGCGCUAGAAAGCACUUGCUUAUAACACAGGGUUUAUAUUGAGGAAUAGCAGGAGAUUGGGGGAGGCAGUGAUUUGAUGCCAAAGUCUGAUUGAGAAGUUUCGGUUUAUUCCAUAGUGUGUGGGUGGUUGUCGAAGACAUUUCUCUCUCUAAUGCCAUGUGGGAACUAGGCUGGAACCCAAUUCACCUCAUCCUAUCAACACAUAAGCCAUGGCUAGGCUAAUCCCUAGCGCUGUGAGUCUGUAGCAAACUAGGUCAAUGGGAUUCCCCAUCUCCUGUGGCUGAUAGGGCCAAUCACAGGCCUCCAGUACUGACACACUACAUUUCAGUUGCUCUUUCACUGAUUCCUUAAAGCAUCUUGAAAUGAGAGAGAUCAUCUAACUCCCACUCGGAUCAAAUUCUCUAUUAGUACUUAGUCAGCUGGCUUUACCUCCUUGUCUGCUAAGAGUCCACAGGUAACCAAACUUCAAGAUGGCUCACAUUGGUAUUUCCCAUGGGGACAAAGGACUCAAUUUUUGAGCAAAGACUUAGUUGAAUUGGGGGAUAGUUUGAUGUGUGAAAGGAGACUGGGGGUUUUCAGUGGCCUUGUUUGCCCUUGGCAAACUUGAGAAGUGUUGCUAAUGUCAUUGGCAGAAGAAAGUUUUAUCCUACUGGACUGGUUUUCUAUAGUCCCAAAGAGCUAGCACAGUCCUGGAUGCAUAGUGACACUAAAUAAAUAUUUCUGUAAUAAAAUAGAGACAUAUAAAUUGGAAUUAAUGAUUUGUGUCCAAUUCUAAAAUGUCUGAUUUGAGAGCAAUUUUGUUGAUGUUGGAACAAGUUUGAACAAGACAAAUAAGAAAUUGUUCAGCCGCUUCCCUCGUGAAUCUUCCUGUCACCUAGAAAGAAGAGGGGCAGUCCACCAAUUCUCUAGUGAGCAAUAUUGUUGAUAAAGAAACUGCCCUUUUCACUUCGUAUUAUCUCUUUAGUGUAAAAGACCCUGAUGUUCCUUGAACCACCCUUGCCUUUCAAAAUAGCGGCGGUGUCUUUCUGUAGCCUCCAGAGCCCUGCUCCUCCAAUUAUACUGCGAUAUAAGGCAAGUAAAUGGCCACUCUGGACCUCAAAUUCUUUACCUGUAAAACCGAAGGUAUUAAUAACUUCUUAGCUGGAUUCUUAUGGUGAUUAAUGAGGAAAUUGUGUAAUCCACCUCACACACAGUAGGUGCAAAACAAAUCUCAUUUCCUGUCUUCUUUCCUUUUGCCAAACGAAUAGUUUGUACAAUUAAGCAAUAAGUAUAGCUCUGCUAAAUUUGGUCUGUGUGGAGGUUCUAACACUGAGUUACUAUGACAACUUACUUUUUUUUUUUCUGGAAUGGCAUUUUCUCUAGGAUUGAUACUUUUUAAAAUGAAAUUGCUCUAUUAAAAAGCUACCAAAUAUCGGCCACUUUUUUUUUUUAACUUCCCCCUAUUCAGUUAUCUUCAAGUAUUUUCAUUUAGUUUUACUGUAAGAAAGGAGGUUUUUUUUUUCAAUAAACAUACCUGGAAUAACAUAAAUCAUGCUUUGUUCCAUUUGUUUUAAAAUGAUUUUCUGAAAUAUACUGGCUUAUACUGAAGCAUUCUAGGCAAGGACUCCUUUUUAGACAUCUGAGAUCGUAGAAGAUCAGGGCUAUUUAUUGCUCUCUUAAUCAAGGAUAGCUCACACAUAGCACAAAUUCUGGUACUUCACACAUCUAUGCUCAAUGGCACUCAUUCUUAAUAGUCCAGUUUUCCCCUCAGAAUCCUUCUGAACACAGCAGUAUAGAAAGCAGCUAUCCAGGAGUUCCCAUUGUGGUGCAGGGGAAAUGAAUCCAACUAGUAUCCAUGAGGAUGCAGGUUCAAUCCCUGGCCUUGCUAAGUGGGUCAGGGAUCCUGCAUUGCUGUGAGCUGUGGUGUAGGUUGCAGAUGUGGCUCAGAUCUGGCAUUGCUGUGGCUGUGGCAUAGGCCAGCAGCCAUAGCUCUGAUUCGACCCCUGGCCCUGGAACUUCCAU
rnacentral:lncRNA from 1 species